rnacentral:rRNA from 1 species
GACGUAGGGCGCGAGCGUUGUCCGGAUUUAUUGGGCGUAAAGAGCUCGUAGGCGGCUUGUCGCGUCGAAUGUGAAAACCUGCAGCUCAACUGCAGGCUUGCAUUCGAUACGGGCAGGCUCGAGUUCGGUAGGGGAGACUGGAAUUCCUGGUGUAGCGGUGAAAUGCGCAGAUAUCAGGAGGAACACCGGUGGCGAAGGCGGGACUCUGGGCCGAUAUUGACGCUGAGGAGCGAAAGCGUGGGGAGCGAACAGG